rnacentral:rRNA from 1 species
UACGUAGGUGGCAAGCGUUGUCCGGAUUUACUGGGCGUAAAGAGCGCGCAGGCGGUCGUUCAAGUCGCGUGUGAAAGCCCCCGGCUCAACUGGGGAGGGUCACGCGAUACUGUUCGACUCGAAGGCAGGAGAGGGAAGUGGAAUUCCCGGUGUAGUGGUGAAAUGCGUAGAUAUCGGGAGGAAUACCUAUGGCGAAAGCAGGCUACUGGACCAUCACUGACGCUGAUCUGCGAAAGCUAGGGGAGCAAACAGG